rnacentral:lncRNA from 1 species
GCUCGGCCCGCUCUCUCUCUGACCACUCAUUGCCUGAAGAUCCUUUCCAACUCACUGUGUCCUGGUACUGGAGAUGGGACUCUCCCCUGGUAGCUCUAUUUCUGUGGGCACUGUCACCAUCUAGUGGCACUCUGCUCCUGGCUCACAGGUACAGCAGCCUCACUGAGCUCUCCCCCAUCAUCAUUCAUUUCUCCCAGGUAUUAGUACCAGCUUUUACCAAUUAGCACGUUAAAAGCUGGCAUGGGUGGGUGCAGCCUUAUCAAUCCAUGUUUCCCUGUGGCCCUGCUAGGAUGUAGCUGCAGGAGGAAGGCCCCUCUGGCACAUCAACUGUUUUUGUCUUUUAACCAUACGAGGAAACAAACUGUUUAGUGAAUGAAGCCAGAUGCAUGAGGUUGUGCUGAAGGACCUACAGCCCCUUUGUAAAGAGCUCCAACAGGAAACCUUGGAAGAGGCACGUAAAAACAUUUGUGGAAUUUAUUCUUGGCAAUUAAAGGAUGGUGGCCUGGAGCAGGGCUGGGGACAUUCACUGGGCUUUUAUUGACAGAAUGGGAAGACCUAGCGACACCAGAGAAGCAGCUGUGAGAAGAGCGUGCCUUCAGAUGCUGGCAAGAGCAGAUACAAGGUAAUUCUUGAAAUAAGACAGGCUAACACACAAGCUUGCACAACCACCAGUUUCAGCUUGGACACUGCCCAGGUCAAUGGGAUUCUCUCCAUUCAUUAGUCAGCAUAGCCUGACUGCCAUGCCCUGCGCCCUCAGUGUGUGUUGCAACACGUUGUUCCAUGAAAUAAGCAAGUUAAAGCUUCCUGUGAGCUGCUGAAGCUCAGCUAUGCUGAAAUAUAAAGUGUCCUGUUAAAACUGGAUUGGGUCAGAAGAUACAUGAGCAUGGCUCAAGUGUCCUCCAGUUUCUUUGAUACCCAUUGUAGCAAUACUGACCUGAUAUACACCUCAUUGUAAUCUGGGUGUCUUUGGAAAAGAAAAAAAGUUUAAUAUCCAAAGUGAAUUAUUAACUCUUCCCUCAGUCUUAUUUUGACCUCUGUGUAACCAGUGGCGGUAUCAGGGCAUGCUGUGGCUCUUGUUGGCCAAGGCAUGGUGCCACCAGCGUGGCCCAUGGCUGUGGGCAGGAGUGGUGACAGCUGGGACACGGGCAGGGCUGGGUCAGCACGGCUGAUGCCAUUCUCAUGACACACCAGGACCAGUGCAAUAAAUGGGAGAGCCAGAACUUUCCA